UGGUGGAAUAGGCCGGGCGGUUAGGGGUCGCCUGUAAGCUCAAGCCCUCUUUAAUGCGGCCGAAAAGCCUGGAGAGGCCUGGUGGUAGUGCAGACCCGUUAUUCCGACUGCGAAGCCUCGUCCUCUGGGAUCAUUACUUUUAUGAACCGGGUCAGACCUUGACGGGAGCAGCCCUAAGUAAGGGUUUCUGAUGUUCAGGGGGUGCCGAGGUGGAGAAGGAAUUCCGGAUUAAUCUGCGCUGUCUCCUCGGUCCAUCCAGGCCCUUUCUACCA
rnacentral:SRP_RNA from 1 species